rnacentral:rRNA from 1 species
CACACCGCCCGUCACACCAUGGGAGUUGGUUCGACCUUAAGCUGGUGCGCGAACUCGCAAGAGACGCAGCCAACCACGGUCGGGUUAGCGACUGGGGUG